UUCGGCUGAGGGUUUGGCCUGUAAGUGUUUUGUUCAGCAAUACCAGGGGGCCUGAGUAAAUCAAGGAAGGGAGAUAACUGCUGCCCAGCAUUGGAGGGAGUGUGCUGCAGGGGUACGGCUGCAAACAAUCCUGCACAGGGCCUUCUGAAAGGAGGUGUGAAGAACUCCAGAGAGCUGAACGGUGGCAUUAACAAUGGCUGCCUCAUAUCACAGAGGAUUAUUCAGCCAGAAAUUAACUAGGAGCCAGGAGGCCCUUUGCAAGGAUGGAACGUGCCCCCCAGGGAUGACAGGCUUAAAAAGUUACAGGUGAUCAGCUGCAGGACCGUCGCUGCCUUUCCUGCCAGGGUCACUUCAUCUGUAUCUGGGAGGGAGCAAGUAAAACACUUGGAACCCGCGACAAUCGCUGGGGGUACGCUAGCCUAGAA